UGAAUAGCAGAAGAGCAGUGCAGGUA
rnacentral:piRNA from 1 species